rnacentral:Y_RNA from 12 species
GGCUGGUCCGAGUGCAGUGGUGCUUACAAUUAAUUGAUCACAGCCAGUUACAGAUUUCUUUGUUCCUUCUCCACUCCCACUGCUUCACUUGACCGGCCUUUU